UCCCAAAGUUGUGGUUAAGUGGUAAACGAUGUGGGAAGGCUUAGACAGCUAGGAGGUUGGCUUAGAAGCAGCCACCCUUUAAAGAAAGCGUAAUAGCUCACUAGUCGAGUCGGCCUGCGCGGAAGAUGUAACGGGGCUCAAACCACACACCGAAGCUGCGGGUGUCACGUAAGUGACGCGGUAGAGGAGCGUUCUGUAAGCCUGUGAAGGUGAGUUGAGAAGCUUGCUGGAGGUAUCAGAAGUGCGAAUGCUGACAUGAGUAACGACAAUGGGUGUGAAAAACACCCACGCCGAAAGACCAAGGGUUCCUGCGCAACGUUAAUCGACGCAGGGUUAGUCGGUUCCUAAGGCGAGGCUGAAAAGCGUAGUCGAUGGGAAACAGGUUAAUAUUCCUGUACUUCUGGUUACUGCGAUGGAGGGACGGAGAAGGCUAGGCCAGCUUGGCGUUGGUUGUCCAAGUUUAAGGUGGUAGGCUGAAAUCUUAGGUAAAUCCGGGGUUUCAAGGCCGAGAGCUGAUGACGAGUCGUCUUUUAGAUGACGAAGUGGUUGAUGCCAUGCUUCCAAGAAAAGCUUCUAAGCUUCAGGUAACCAGGAACCGUACCCCAAACCGACACAGGUGGUCGGGUAGAGAAUACCAAGGCGCUUGAGAGAACUCGGGUGAAGGAACUAGGCAAAAUGGCACCGUAACUUCGGGAGAAGGUGCGCCGGCUAGGGUGAAGGAUUUACUCCGUAAGCCCUGGCUGGUCGAAGAUACCAGGCCGCUGCGACUGUUUAUUAAAAACACAGCACUCUGCAAACACGAAAGUGGACGUAUAGGGUGUGACGCCUGCCCGGUGCCGGAAGGUUAAUUGAUGGGGUUAGCGCAAGCGAAGCUCUUGAUCGAAGCCCCGGUAAACGGCGGCCGUAACUAUAACGGUCCUAAGGUAGCGAAAUUCCUUGUCGGGUAAGUUCCGACCUGCACGAAUGGCGUAACGAUGGCGGCGCUGUCUCCACCCGAGACUCAGUGAAAUUGAAAUCGCUGUGAAGAUGCAGUGUAUCCGCGGCUAGACGGAAAGACCCCGUGAACCUUUACUGUAGCUUUGCACUGGACUUUGAGCCUGCUUGUGUAGGAUAGGUGGGAGGCUUUGAAGCGUGGACGCCAGUUCGCGUGGAGCCAUCCUUGAAAUACCACCCUGGCAUGCUUGAGGUUCUAACUCUGGUCCGUGAUCCGGAUCGAGGACAGUGUAUGGUGGGCAGUUUGACUGGGGCGGUCUCCUCCUAAAGAGUAACGGAGGAGUACGAAGGUGCGCUCAGACCGGUCGGAAAUCGGUCGUAGAGUAUAAAGGCAAAAGCGCGCUUGACUGCGAGACAGACACGUCGAGCAGGUACGAAAGUAGGUCUUAGUGAUCCGGUGGUUCUGUAUGGAAGGGCCAUCGCUCAACGGAUAAAAGGUACUCCGGGGAUAACAGGCUGAUACCGCCCAAGAGUUCAUAUCGACGGCGGUGUUUGGCACCUCGAUGUCGGCUCAUCACAUCCUGGGGCUGAAGCCGGUCCCAAGGGUAUGGCUGUUCGCCAUUUAAAGUGGUACGCGAGCUGGGUUUAGAACGUCGUGAGACAGUUCGGUCCCUAUCUGCCGUGGACGUUUGAGAUUUG
rnacentral:rRNA from 1 species